CCCCACCCCCCUCAAGUCAUUUGGUUGCGCCUGUCCUGACGGUUGGAAAGAGAGGGAAAAGCAGCAGCCACUUUGAACCAGACCCUUCUGAUAGCCUGUUCGAAACGGAUAGCCUCGAUAGAUGUAUAGAGAACCAAAACCAAACCAAGAUGCUGUCUGCCAGAUCCUUGACCUCGGAUUUCAGUCAAGAAAAGCCUUCAUUGAAAGUGAUGUCCUAAAAGAAGAUGAUAGACCUACAAAGAUUCUGGAGGCAUAUCCAUGUUUCAAGGAGCUUCAUCAUGUGAUGGAGGAGCUGCGGUGGAUCCAGGAUAUGGGAAACGGCAAAUUCAGAUGUCAAGUACAGGACAGAUGGGAAGACUUCUGCUCACUAGUGCAGUUUUACAGAGUUUGGAAAAAAGUGUUGAAGCCUCCCAUGAACUUAAGUGGAGUUGAACACAACGUUGCACUCUUCAGAGCACUCCCAACGCUUUUCCCAUCUCCAACUUCACCCCUGAAGAAACUGGCACAUGCUAGUGAAGCAUUGCUGCAUGUUCUAGAGAUAUGCAAAAUGGUGUUAAUGACACCUAAAAAGCCUAAAUACAAGCAUCUACAAAAAUUAUAUUAAUUUUCAAAAUGGCAAAUACGACCCUAGUGAUGUUUCAUUAUUACUAACAAAACAUUUUUAGUAAAAGUUACAACAUAAACUGUUUUACCCUAAUUAUUUUUAUCUUUAGCCAACAGAUGAUCCUGCCAAAUACCUGGAGAAGAGAUCUUUCUCCAGCACGGUGUUGCUCUUUGAUGGGUCCUGCUGUCUCGUGGCAAGUGGAGAAACUCCCAUCACCACCUUUGCCAAAGAAGAUCUUGGCCAUAGGUUGUUUUAUCUGUUGGCUUACCACUACACCUUUCAUCUUACCCAUCCCAAGUUUGUGGCAACCCUACUUUGUCAGUCAGACAGAAAUAUUGAAGGACAAUAUUCACGAGCGGGACACCACAAGUUCAUAAAAAAAGUUUUGGCAGAGUAAAACGUUUUUACUGAGUGGUAGAGCUCUCACGGUGAGAAAUGAAUGCCUUGUUUGGUGAUGUUAACCAGAGACACUCUUUUUCUUAUUUCUCUUAACCUCAGAUUAUUUACUAGUAUGGCCUGCAUCAGCGUUCAUUAAGAUUUAGCUGUAAACCUAUGUUAAAUUUUAUGUUGAAAUGCUUCAAGCAGUUCUUUGUAUUUGUAGAAGCAGAAGUAUUCUAUGUUAACAGUGUAUUCAAAGCAAUUUUGAAAAAAGCAAUAUAAAUAAAUAUUGUUAAGUAUACUAAUCCUG